UCUACUUGGGCUGGUCUUCAUAAGGCUGCCCUCCACUGACUGAACAAAAUUCUCUAACAGGGAAAACAUGCCUCUGGCUACUAUACUCCUCCCAGCCACUGUGAUAUUAAGUCUAUAUCAAGCCCUCUUCCCACAACCAUAUCACCCCUCAGAUCUUAUUAUUUGUUGCUAUCCUUAGCAAGUGAUUUUCACCCUUGUGGAUCCAGCACUGCUCAAAUUCUUGCAAGCAUUUUGUCACAUUCCAGGAGGCAAGAGGCUGGAAAGGUCAAGUUUAAACAUCAAAACAACAUAAAAAUCUCUUCGCCAUUGUCAAAGACAAACAAAAUUGGACACUAAAGUGAAAGAAGAAAAAAAGAAGUAAACACCAUCAAUAGAAUUAAAAGGAACAAAGAAAGAAGAAGAAGGAAGAGAAGGAGGAAGAGGAGGAAGAAUAAGGAGGAAGACACACAGGAGGUGGAGAAGGAGGAGGAGGAGUUAAAAAAUCAAUUGGAAAGUCUGGA